UACUGAGGGUGCAAGCGUUAUCCGGAUUCACUGGGUUUAAAGGUUGCGUAGGUGGGCAGGUAAGUCAGUGGUGAAAUCUCCGGGCUUAACCCGGAAACUGCCGUUGAUACUAUUUGUCUUGAAUAUUGUGGAGGUAAGCGGAAUAUGUCAUGUAGCGGUGAAAUGCUUAGAUAUGACAUAGAACACCAAUUGCGAAGGCAGCUUACUACACAAUGAUUGACACUGAGGCACGAAAGCGUGGGGAUCAAACAGG
rnacentral:rRNA from 1 species